rnacentral:snRNA from 1 species
UCUCAUAGAUUCGUGGUAUAGCG